GGCAGCCCAAGUGAUGGCCGAUAUUAUUGGGCCUAAAGCGUCCGUAGCUGGCCGCGCAAGUUCGUCGGGAAAUCCACGCGCUUAACGUGUGGGCGUCCGGCGAAAACUGUGCGGCUUGGGACCGGAAGAUCUGAGGGGUACGUCUGGGGUAGGAGUGAAAUCCCGUAAUCCUGGACGGACCACCGAUGGCGAAAGCACCUCAGAAGGACGGAUCCGACAGUGAGGGACGAAAGCUAGGGUCUCGAACCGG
rnacentral:rRNA from 1 species